GUGGGUGACUGUGUAACUUAUAAUGCCCUAUAUGCAUGCAUAUUUGUGUAAAGAACAAAUACUUCACAUGAUAGUCAGCACAUAUUCUGAUGAAUAUUUAAUAUUUACCAUCCUGUCCAAUGUCCAGUCAAGGUAACUGAUUGUCAUAUGACUCACACCAAGUCAAAGUACAGGUUAGACUAUUUGAGUUACGACAACUCGUGACGCAGCUCUUAAGUAGAGGAACAACAUUUGAGCUCAGCAGGGCCAAGGAGAGAAGACGCCCCACAAGUCUGAAGUUCUGUCUUCAAAUGAACUUGGCACAAACCAGGAAGUUUUUGUGCAGAUAAUCGUGAAGCCUUGGUUGUGACUGACAGCUGUCAAUCUUCCCUGCUUCAUAAUCUAGGUUUGACAGCCUAAGUGCAGUAGGCUGUCAAGAAGUCCUGUAUCUGAAAGUUGUCAGUCUUCACUUCUUGUCAGUAUCAAGUCAAAGUACAGGUUAGACUAUUUGAGUUACAACAACUCGUGACGCAGCUCUAAAGUAGAGGAACAACAUUUGAGCUCAGCAGGGCCAAGGAGAGAAGACGCCCCACAAGUCUGAAGUUCUGUCCUCAAAGGAACUUGGCACAAACCAGGAAGUUUUUGUGCAGAAAAUUGGGAACCCCGGUUGUGGCUGCCAGCUGUGAAUCUUCACUGCACCCCUAUAAUCUAGGUUUGACAACCCAGCUGACGAGUCUCU